rnacentral:rRNA from 1 species
UCAAAGGAAUUGACGGGGCCCGCACAAGCGGUGGAGCAUGUGGUUUAAUUCGAUGCAACGCGAAGAACCUUACCUGGGCUUGACAUCCCGGGAAUCCCUUGGAAACAAGGGAGUGCCCUUCGGGGAACCUGGAGACAGGUGCUGCAUGGCUGUCGUCAGCUCGUGUCGUGAGAUGUAGGGUUAAGUCCCGCAACGAGCGCAACCCUUGUCUUUAAUUGCCAUCAUUGAGUUGGGCACUUUAAAGAGACUGCCGGUGUUAAAACCGGAGGAAGGUGGGGAUGACGUCAAGUCCUCAUGGCCUUUAUGCCCAGGGCUACACACGUGCUACAAUGGGCGGUACAAAGGGUCGCGAACCCGCGAGGGGGAGCCAAUCCCAAAAAGCCGCUCUCAGUUCGGAUUGCAGGCUGCAACUCGCCUGCGUGAAGUCGGAAUCGCUAGUAAUCGCGGAUCAGCACGCCGCGGUGAAUACGUUCCCGGGCCUU